UGAUUAGCUCCUUUUGUCUUUUUUUGUGUGUGCUUGUAGGUUGCUGCCCUCCCCCUUUUUAAAAAUAAAUAAAUAAAUAAAUGAUUCACUGGAAUAAAGUUGGUGUGACGUUGGACGUUUGAUAUUCGCGGAAAUUAAGGGACCGUCUCUAAAGUUACAUACGACAUUGGUAAACACGGUUCUAACUUCAAUAGCAUUUGAAGCGAAUGGCUUAGUCACACAACCAACAGUAAAAUGUUCAACUAGGUGUCCGCUAUAAUGCACACCUCUUAGAUUUCUGAUAUCUAUCAAAAUAAGCUAUGAAAUCAUAUGUAAAUUAGACAUGAAUUUCACUGCAGAAUGGGCCCAUACACAAAAUAUACCAUUAUUUAAAGCUCAAUAGCAUUUGAAGGGAAUGACUUACAGUCAAACAACCAACUGGAAAGUGUUCAACUAGGUGCCAGGUAUGAGAAACACCUUUUAUAUUUUUGAUAUAUAUUAAAAUAAGCUAUUAAAUCAUAUAUAAAUAUUGAACAUAUAAACAAAUAGAUAUAUAAAAAAAAAUUCAUGUAUUUAUUUAUUUUUCACACCAAAUUGUUGAGGACCCCGGGCGCCCCCUGGCGGCCCCCACUUUGAAAACCAGUGCAUCAGACUGCAAUCGGCAUCAUGGCCAGAUAUAAAAAGGGGAAACGUAAAAGAGAAAAUGACCUUUGGGCAAAAGGCUGGUGGCAGAAGUCAAACAGCUAAGGCAUUUCUUAGACAUGGCGUUGGAAAAGGAAAGGCAAAGUGGUCCACCCUAGCUGUCUAUAUUUUCUAUUCCAAUCCACCGAAUAAAAAAAUUGGCAGCAUGGCAGCGAACUGUUUGGACAGAGGACAGGAAAGGUGUUCGAGGACAGGUGCUUCAAACAGACAGAAGUUCUGAAUUGGGGUACUCUUUCCUGGACUCAUGUACUGGGAUAAAUUUGUACUCGAACUUGACAUGGACUCGAAAAUGUUUCAGAGUACAGUCGAGUCCGCCUCAUCAAAUAUGAUGAGGACAUUGAGGACAAUGAGGAUAUUGAUGAGAUGAGUAAAGGGCACAAUAAACUCAAUCAAACAAAGGAAUGAAGAGAUGAAGACUAUCCUUGUAACAGGGAAGAUGACAGGAACAGCACUGUUGAUGAAGAUGAGAAUGCUAAUAAUGAUGGCACAUGUUCAGGGCAGAUAAGCAGAUAAGCAGAAUGGAACAGAGGAAAGAAGGGACAAAGAUUAUUCUUGUGACAGGGAAGUUAAGGCUGGCGAAAGGAACAACACUGCAGAUGAAGAUGAGAAUAAUGAUGAGUCAGACACAGAAAACAAGACCAGGUCCAAAGAUUUUUGUAGUGUCCAUAACAACAAAAACCUGGCAAAAAAAAUAAAUAAAGCCACAUGCAGGCUCAACCCAGUUACAACAGCCCUGGGCCGAUGUCUUGUAUGAAGCAUUCAACAAAGUAAAUCCUUGCUGUGUCCUUUCAUUCAAGUAUCAACAUGUAAAAUGCAGGAAAAAUCGUAAAAAAAAAAAAGAACACCUUAUUUCAGGGCACUUGCCGUUUGUAUCUUUGAUGAUUGCUCAGCAAAAUACAAAUUUACAAUUCGAACAAAGCCCAAACCAUUCCAGAAGCAUAUUGACAUCCCUGUUGUGCGAUUGAGUGAUGUGACCCACAAGGAUAAAGAAUUGAAAUCCAGAAAUGCCAAAUUCACCAAAAGAGGAAACAUUGCAGCAGCAGUAGCAAAAGGAGUAAGCCAGCACUAUCAUUGAGAAACACACCACCAGAUGAGAUUUUGGCUGGCAACAUCUCCAGAUGCCUUACUAUGGAUGUCUUAAGAGUAAUAUCUAGUGAAAUCAGGAAAAGCACCAGACUCCAUGAUGAUGUUAUCAUGGAGAUGAUGCUCUGCCUGAAGAUCAUGAAGGAGUGCAGUGGAACUGCAUCACAAAUUGCAGGCUAUAUUCCACACUUACAAGUGGACCCAUUUAGUGUCCAUUUGUACACAGAUUGUGGUCUACGAAUAGUGGCAGAACAUUGGAAAAACUCACCCCCAGUCACAUUACAUCUAGAUGCUACAGGCAGUGUCAUGUGACGCAUCCCCAACCAAACCAAAAGAAUCCUUUAUUAUGCCUUUGUUCUACCUGGAAAGGGGAAGGAUACGCUACUCCUUCGUGUGUCUGAGUUGAUAUCAAACGAGCACUCAAUACCAACUCUCACGUCUUGGCUGAUGGAAACACUGAGACAACUGUGCCAGAUAAUGACACGGAAGGCCUUCCGUGUCAUAUGUCAUACCGAGUUUAGCUGGGCACUCAUUGGUAGUGUCCUCCUGGCCUUCAAUAAAGAAAGUGUCUCACCCUAUAUAAACAGAGCACAUCUAAUUGUCAGCCAAAAAGUGAAAAGUGCAGAUGCAGUUAAUUUCACAGUGCUCCACCUCUGUUCAUCCCACAUAAUAAAGGCUGUAACCCAAGGAUUUUCAAAGACAACUGGUGAGUAUGCUGUAAAAGAAUAUGCCGCCUACUGUUUUGGUCUUCUUCUUAACAGCACCACCCUACAAGAACCACUUUCAGGAUAUGUCUACGUUGCUCAUGUCAGUAAACAAUUCCAAUGCGGUUAUGGAAGCAAAAAACACACUGGACCAAAAAAUCCUGAAGUCCAAGCCUACUACUAUGUAUGAAACACUUCCAUGUAGAAGACAUGGAGAGGAGCAGCAACAUCAAGACUAUAUGUGGCAAAUCUCCCUUCACACGUUUAUUCAAUGGUGUUGUAGAGAAGACCAGGUGUACACAGACAGAGAGUGGCAAAAAAGAAUGAAUUCUACUGCCCAGGGAUCAUUAAUGUUCUCAUGAACACCUACAUGGGCAUUUUCCCCCUUUCGAGUGGCAUAUUGCUUGGGGACCUGAGCAGAUGCUCCAAAGAGAAUACUAAAGAAAUAAAAACAAGGGAAACAGAUUGCCAUGUAGAGCAGUGGUUCUCAAUAGUGCAGAAUCACAUACUACGCAGAAAAAAGUUCCUGCGGCCUGCAGAUUUCAUUACAAAGAUGUUUAACUCUCUGCAAAGAAGGUACACACAGCAUCAGAUGAUGCAUAGUCUUGAUAGUCUGUCUCAAGGAACAUCUCCAAAGCAACAGACCAUUGACCAACAAGAAGGGCUAUGGGCCAAGAGAUCACAAACUCAAAGACCAUUGUUCAAGCAUCGUUCAAAGUAUUUUGAUCCACCAGAAGCAGUGCCCCAACCAAAAAGACACAAGACAAAGCAAACAUCUGAGGAUCAUUCAGAGGACACAUCAGUCCAGAUCCAAGCUCUGUGGUCUAAGAAAGAAUGUGAGAUAGUCAUUGCCGUUACACAGUCAAAGGACAAAAAAAGGUCUUAUAUCCUGCAUCAUUCAGAGCUGAAAACACUCCAGCCACAUAAAUGGCUGGUGGGGGAGACAAUCCAAUGCUAAUUUCAAGUGGUGGUGAAUAACAGAGACCAGGGACACAAGAUUUUUAUACUAGAUCAUUACACAGCAAGUGUUAUACUUCAUGGAGAACGAGAUGAAGUACGGAGAAACAGUCUCUCAAAGGUAAAGAUUAUCUUUAUCUUUAAUUAUCUUUAAUAAUUGAAUUCAAUAAAAUUUUAUUUAUAUAGCGCUUUUAACAAUGGAUAUUGUCUCAAAGCAGCUUUACAGAAGCAAACACAGCAUACAGAUUUUAAGUGUAUCAAUUUAUCCAUAAUAGUUUAAGACAGUUACAUAACAAUGAAAUGUCAUAAGUGUUUUAUUUUAUUAAAAUUUUUUAAUUUCACGUGAACUUUGAUGACUAUGAGGGAAUGAUAAGUUUCCUGAAUGUCAACGGGAAUCAUUGGAUAUUUUUGGUGAACGCAUUUUAUAGUCCUUUUUUAAUAUACAUGAGACACUGUUAUAUUACUCUAUUCUAUAGAGGAUGUUCAUAAUUUGGUUGGCUUGAAAAAUCACAUUGAAUAAAUGUCCAGAUGAGCCAAGACUAUUCAAACACCAACCAUCAAAAUUCAAAUACAAACUAACCCGCAGCUGCGGGGGUUUCCUCCGGGUUCUCCGGUUUCCUCCCCCAGUCCAAAGACAUGCAUGGUAGACUGAUUGGCAUGUCCAAAUUGUCUGUAGUGUAUGAAUGGUUGUGUGAGUGUGUAUGUGAUUUUGCCCUGUGAUGGACUGGCACCCUGUCCAGGGUGUACCCCAACUUGUGCCCGAUGCUCCCUGGGAUAGGCUCCAGGUUUCCCAUUGACCCUGAAAAGGAUAAAGCUGUAUAGAAGAUGGAUAGAUGGAUGGACUAACCCGUACAAGGCCAUAUGCUUUUCACUACACCACACACAAGAGUCUGUACUAGUUGAAUGUAAGUAUAAAUGAAUUAAUGAAUUAAUUAAUUCAUUCAUUCAUUCAUUAAUCCAUCCAUCCAUAAUUUUAACUUUCAGGCCAGACUUUAAAACCAACCUGAAAGUUUUUAUACAAAACUUUGUUUUGUAGUUUCAUUCUAGUUUCAUCUGUUUUUAUUUAUCUUACACAGUAUCUCCAUGCAACAUCCAGCCAGGUGUUUGUGGUAGACCCAGCAGGACAUGAUGAAGAAGCAAAAUCCAUGCAUGCAGCCACUAGAUUUCAGUAAUAUUUUUUAGCUUGUUAUAUAUUGUACUUACAAAGAUAGGUUACAAAUUAGACAAAAAGCAUGACUGUGUGAAGAGGCCCACUUCUUUUUGAUGUGUUUUCUUGUCACAGGGUAUUGAACGGUGAAUGAUAUGCUGUGUCCUUUUCUAUCUUUAGUAAAUUAAACAAAAAAUUAGAUUUUGGACCAAACUGUAUCAGCUUGAAAAUGUAAAAAUUUAGAAAUAUAUCUUGAAAAAACAGUUCUAUUCCUCCUGUUGGUGUUCCAGAGACUUGGCAUAGCUCUUGCAGAUCUCUGGAUCCUUAACAAUUAUUUUCGUAAGAAUAAAAUGACAGGCUUAGAGUCUUUUACAUUGUGUAGGUAUACUAGUCUUCUCAUAAGGUUUUUUUUAAAAUGCUGUCAAAUCCUUACAAUAAUUUUACUUAUUAACUUUUACUAUAAGUAGCAAGCAAUUCACAAUAAUUGUUAAGUGUAAAGUGAGUGAGAUAUGUAAAGACAAUAAUUACUAUAUACUACAUAUAUAGGAAAUUAGUAGUAAUAGUAAUAAUGUUUUAAUGCUUAAUGUUAUCCUGUCAAUCAUUUUGAUUCGCUUAACACACUUUUUUCCAAACAUUUUGUGUUUUAAGCACUAAAGGAAAAUGGAUAAUGUUGCCUUUCUAAUAAUAUCAUUAUAUUUAUAUGGCCUGUAAAGAGAACGGAGAGCACAAUGCAGAACAUUCGUUUAAAUUGACUAACAAAGUGGGUCUCUUAAAUAAAAAAGAUUCAUAACAACAUUUAUUGUUUGUAUUUUGUACUAAUAUUUGGUAAAAAAAAAAAAAAAUAUGGUUAAUAAGAUGAACCUUAAAGUAGUUUAAAUCACAAGAAUGUGUUUUUAUUGGUUUGGGGGCUUUUUUGCUUUAUUGUGGUAGGGAUAGUAGAGAAUUGACAAGGCAAUAUAGGAUAGAAGAGUGGGGGUGUGAACGGGAAAAUACCCUACGAGCUGGAAAACAAACUCUUCACGGUAGGAGAGAAGCAAUUGAUUUGUCACCUUUCUCUACAUUUAGACUCAACAAGAUUUAACAAAUAAAUAGGUUUUUACAUGAACAAUGUUCAUGAUUUUCUUUAUUUACACUGCCUAGAGAGUACUUCAAAAUGAGAAGAAACUGUCUUAGUAAAUGUGACUGGGUGGACAUAAAAUGGAAUGGAGGACAAAUUAACCAUUCCACACAACAGGACUGGUACAGCUGUGGAGUGUUUGUCAUGCAGAUGGCAAAAGAAGUUGUUGGUGCGUUUCCAAAUAUCCCUUGCCAUUUGACUAUAAACUCAUCCAAGGAGCACAUGGAACAUUUGCUACUGACAAUGGCAGAGGAACUUCUGAAAGCCUCAGUAUUCAAGAGGGGACAUUACUGCUCAUUAUGUGCAGCCUCAAAACCCCUGGGUGGUGAUGCAAAAACAUUUUGGAUUGAAUAUCACUGCUGCAAGAGGUGGUUUCAUGUGGCAUGCCUUUCUAUGUCAGAGAAUCAGUUCAAAAGGGCUCAAAAGGUUGACUGGAAGUGCUGCCUAUGUAAAUAAUUUUUGAUUCCUUUGGCUCCCAUCCACAAACUAAACAUGUACAUAAAUAAAUAUAAAGAAAACAAAUAAAAAUGUUUGAAAUAUUAAAACAUUCGUGGAUCAUCAUUUCUUUUAAUUAUUUCUUUUUAUUUUUAAUUUUUUUAUUAUGAUCAUUUAAUUAUUAAUAGGACGUCUAUUUUUUUAAGAAAACCAUUCAAUCCAGUACGAGUCAUUUUAACCCCC